GAUGAACGCUGGCGGCGUGCCUAAUACAUGCAAGUCGAGCGAACGGACGAGAAGCUUGCUUCUCUGAUGUUAGCGGCGGACGGGUGAGUAACACGUGGAUAACCUACCUAUAAGACUGGGAUAACUUCGGGAAACCGGAGCUAAUACCGGAUAAUAUUUUGAACCGCAUGGUUCAAAAGUGAAAGACGGUCUUGCUGUCACUUAUAGAUGGAUCCGCGCUGCAUUAGCUAGUUGGUAAGGUAACGGCUUACCAAGGCAACGAUGCAUAGCCGACCUGAGAGGGUGAUCGGCCACACUGGAACCGAGACACGGUCCAGACUCCUACGGGAGGCAGCAGUAGGGAAUCUGCCGCAAUGGGCGAAAGCCUGACGGAGCAACGCCGCGUGAGUGAUGAAGGUCUUCGGAUCGUAAAACUCUGUUAUUAGGGAAGAACAUAUGUGUAAGUAACUGUGCACAUCUGGACGGUACCUAAUCAGAAAGCCACGGCUAACUACGU
rnacentral:rRNA from 1 species